UACAGGGGGUGCAAACGUUGCUCGGAAUCAUUGGGCGUAAAGCGCACGUAGGCGGUUCGUUAUGUCGGAUGUGAAAGCCCUUGGCUUAACCGAGGAAGUGCAUCCGAAACUGGCGAGCUAGAGUACUAAAGAGGAUCGCGGAAUUCCUAGUGUAGAGGUGAAAUUCGUAGAUAUUAGGAAGAACACCAGUGGCGAAGGCGGCCACCUGGACCAACACUGACACUGAGGCACGAAAGCGUGGGGAGCAAACAGGG
rnacentral:rRNA from 1 species